rfam:Myotis brandtii contig262083, whole genome shotgun sequence.
GGUAGCUCUCAGGUAACAUACCCCGGAAUUGGGCUCCCUCCUCUCUGGUUCUGGGCAUAUCACUGGAGAACCACA